AAACUUAACUUUUUAACACAUUUAAAAUAUCUAAUAAUAAAGCCAAACACAAUAUUUCCAAAUUCCAAAAUUUUCGAUCUCAUUCUCCAUUCCCAUCUGAAGCGACAGUUUCGAGACUUACAAAAUUGAUCUGAAGCUUCUUCUUCUUCGUUUUCGACUUCGUUGUUUACAUCUCCGUUUCCUUCGUCCGCCAUGAUUUCUAACCCUUUGUCAAUGCCUCAAGAAAAGUAAGAAAUAUCUUGAACCAUCAUGGAGAAUUCUAGAAAUAGAAGUGGAUGGAUUACAAUGGUCAGUAAAGAGUAUUUAGAUGGAGUAGAAAAUUUCCUAAACCAUGCAUUUCGUGAGAACCACAAUGGAGGAACAAUUUCAUGCCCUUGUACAAAAUGUGUGCUAUACUAUCAAGUAAAUCGGGCAGCGGCAUAUGAUCAUCUCGUUGUUAAUGGUAUUAAGCCAUCAUAUAAUACUUGGUUUGUCAUGGAGAGUCUCUCAAUGGAUCAACAAGUAUAUGAGAGAAUAAUGACAGACAAGAAGUUUUAAGGGGCACUGAUAUGAGAGAAAUGAUACAUGAUAUUUCUGGAAGCUUCAUCCAGUUCAAUGAUAACAUUAGUGAAAGGGAAGAGAUAGAUCAGUUUGAACAAUAACUCAUGAGAGAUUCAAAUGAAGAACUUUACCCUGGGUGCAAAAAGUUCAGUAAACUAUCGUUUGUGCUUCAACUUUACCGCAUAAAACUAUUACGGAAAUGGUCGAAUGAGUCUUUUAA